GUCUUGGUAUUCAAUUAUGAUAUUAAAUUGCAAAUUUAAAGGUGAAAAAUUAUUCCAAGACUU
rnacentral:tRNA from 1 species